AGUGAACGCUGGCGGUAGGCCUAACACAUGCAAGUCGAACGGCAGCACAGUAAGAGCUUGCUCUUACGGGUGGCGAGUGGCGGACGGGUGAGGAAUACAUCGGAAUCUACUUUUUCGUGGGGGAUAACGUAGGGAAACUUACGCUAAUACCGCAUACGACCUACGGGUGAAAGCAGGGGAUCUUCGGACCUUGCGCGAUUGAAUGAGCCGAUGUCGGAUUAGCUAGUUGGCGGGGUAAAGGCCCACCAAGGCGACGAUCCGUAGCUGGUCUGAGAGGAUGAUCAGCCACACGGGAACUGAGACACGGUCCAGACUCCUACGGGAGGCAGCAGUGGGGAAUAUUGGACAAUGGGCGCAAGCCUGAUCCAGCCAUACCGCGUGGGUGAAGAAGGCCUUCGGGUUGUAAAGCCCUUUUGUUGGGAAAGAAAAGCAGCAGGUUAAUACCCCGCUGUUCUGACGGUACACAAAGAAUAAGCACCGGCUAACUUCGU
rnacentral:rRNA from 1 species